CCACAAACAGCCAAGUGCACACACUAAUAUUGGACUGCUACAGACAAGAUUAGCAUGACCCCUGUGAAAGAAUGAGUCAGAAAUUCAGGAAACAUUUCACACUUUU